AUGUUUCAUCUUCGGUGUGUGGCGUCUGGUGAUCCGAGUCCCUCCUACAGCUGGAUCAGUCCUCAGACUCAAGGAUCACAGCUGAAUAUCAGCCUCAGUUUAGCAGAGAGCGCUACACUCAACUGCACAGCCAACAACACCGUCAGCGUUAAGUACACUACCAAGACGGUAGUGUGCAAAUCUGACAAUUCGACAUCAGGUUUUGGUCAGGAGUAUGUGCUGAUCGCGGCAGGCGUCUGUAUCGUCGCUGUGGUCAUAUUCAGUGGAGCAGUGGCUGUGUGCUGCAGGUGGAGGAAGAAUAAAGGACAAGGAGAAAGUGAAGCUGGUAUUACAGUAUAUGAAGACGUGAACACUGAUUGCGCUGCAAAGAAACGAUCUGAAAGUGUUGUAAACGGGAUGACCAUUUAUGAAACGGUGGAUGACACAAAACUCUCACAAAUCUUGCCUCAAACCCUGUAUGACAAAAUCAGCUUUCAGCGUCACCCUGAGGUCAGCACCAGCACUUCCUCCCCUUACCAGGAAGUCCUGUGAGAGAGACACAGACAGACGGUCCGUGUAAUGUUUUGUCCUCUUAUCUCUGGAUAUCCAUAUGCAUUAUUGGCUGCAGCAGUUGACCUUUGAACUCUCGCAUUAAAUGUGCUGUGUAUUUAAUGUAUUACGUUGACACUUUUUUAUUUUUUUUUUUUUUUUUUUUUUUUGCAUAUGCAGAAUUCACAAUGCAACACAGUAUUACAUCAUUCAAAAGUUUCAUUGGGCUCAGUAAGAUUCUUUUUGAAAGAAGUAUUUUAUGCUCAGCAAGGCUGCAUUUAUUUGACCAGAAAUACAGUAAAAACUGUGAAAUAUUUUUACAAUGUCAAAUAACCGUUUUCUAUGUCAAUCUACUUUAAAAUGUUAUUUAUUGCCAUGAUGCGCAGCUGUAUUUCCAGCAUCAUUCCUCCAGUCUUCAGUGUCACAUGAUCUUCAGAAAUCAUUCUGAUAUGCUGAUCUGCUGAUCAAGAAACAUUUCUAAUAUUUUAGUUCAUAUUUUUGUGGAAAUUGUGAUACAUUUUAUUUUUCAUGAUUAUUUGAUAAAUAGAAUGUUCAAACGAACAGCAUUUAUUUAAAAUAGAAAUGUAACAUUCUAAACCUUCACUGUGACUUUUGAUCAAUUUAAUGCAUCCUUACUGAACAAAACUCUUACAAUUUCUUUAAAAAUCAUUGUUGAAUCCAAACUUUUGAAAGGUAAUGUAUGUAUUUCUCUACACACUUUUCUGUAUAUGAUAAAAACUUAAAAUUGGUUAGUUUAACUUAUUGAUAUGCAUUAAAUCAAAAGUAAUGCAAUAAUAUUGAGACCAAAGACACAACGGCCCAAGCAUGUAUUGUUUCUGCCUGUUUUUUGUAUUGUAUUUAAACACGUUUAGCAUGUCCACAGCUGUAAUAUUGUAAUUAAUCCAAUUAAACCCUUCCCGUGUCCUCAGUUUGGGAGGAGGAUUCAUAUCUUCACGUACAGAUAUUCUGUCUGUGUAGGAGUAUGUAGCCUUUGUUAUCAGUCAGCUGCUCUCAGAGUUCAGAUUGCAGAAUGUUGAAUCAAAAUCAUUUCUCCUUUUCAUAUUUACACCGUCAGGCAUCUACUGCUUGGUCACUUAAUACCUCAAAAUAUUAUCACUGCUUCAUCAGCAUCAUUAUUGCUCUUUCUCAAGCCGUUGCCACCCAUCUAUCUGAGAUGAGUCAUACAUCCAAAAUAUCAGCCUGAUGCUUUACCUGCCACCUACUUCCUGAAAACGUCCUGUCCAAAUACCCACACUUGCGGUCUUUGCGCUUGACCACUUGACUACUUCUAUGACGUACUUCCUGUAUUUGGUCCAAGUGUUCAAGUGAGCAUGAAGACCAUAAGUGUGUGUCAAACUUUUCAUUACCUGAUGGGACACACUAAUAAUGUUGUAAAAAUGCAAGUGUUUACAGAGCUUUAGUUUUAUUUUCAAUACUUUGCAUUUUAAAAUCAACUUCUAAAUGUCUGUUUAGUAGUCCCUAUAACAGAUGACACAAUUUAAAGGUGCCAUAGAAUGCAUUGAUACAAUAUUUUAAAUUGUUCUCUGAUAUCUACAUAGAAGGUAUGGGGCUUAGGUAAGGGCAAAAAAUCUUCAGAAACGGAUUUACAUGUCCAUUUAUAACCCCAGGAUUUGUCCCUAGAAUGAAAUGGUCUUUGUGAUGAGUGGGGCGGGGCCGAGAGCCGUGGGAACGGAGCGAGGCCGCUGGAGUAAUUGAAAAUAAAACCCAGGCCUGGUCCUCUCUUGUCCUUCA
ensembl:lncRNA